GGGCAUUGAAAGACUCCAUGUCUUGAAGCCUUUAAAAAAAUUCUAAGUGUUGGACACUCCUUUGAACUUCACAUAGAAAACCAUAAUUUCUACAUCCAAACCGAAUCACACAAAAAUACACCAUCACACUUGCCGACAACAAAUUGCUGUUGUUCGUCUUUGUCGUCAUCUUCAUCCCCACUCCACAGCUUGCUGGCUAUUCCCAUUUCCCUUUUAUAGCUUGAACAACUGAUCUUCUUCAAGUUCGAGCCACUGUUACUGACUUCUUUCGGGAGAGGUAAGUGGUUAGUUCUUUUUUUUUUUUUUUUUUUUGAAGAGACAACAAUCACCAUAAAUUUCUCAAAAUCCCUAAAAUUAUGCCAAAAAAAGGAAAAAAAUAAAGCUGCUCCAUGGCAUUAAAGGACUGACUUCGAGUUCGUGGACUAACGUGCCAAUGACUCCGCUUUAUGGCCUUCGUGGAACGAUUCCGUGACACGGGAGUGGCAGCGUGCUAUUUACGUGGAGUCGGAUCGGAGAAGAUUGUACUACGAGGAGUUGGCAACGUGAGAAAGACAGCGAGUUAGCAACUACGUCUUCGACUUAGGGUAAAAUUUUGGCAGAAUUUGAGCUGAAAUUUAGUGGGUUUUGAGUGGUAAGACGAGGUUUUGAGAGAGGAAAAGGAGUGUUUGGCUGGCGAGAAAGUGAGAGAAAUUUUUUGAGUGUGGAGUGAUGGCUUCUCUGUUUUUACUUCUUUAUUGUUCUUUAUUGAGUAGAUGGUGACGAUACAAACUUUUAACAUUGUUUACUUAAUUAAUUGGAUAACAAUCUUACAUGACUGUUUUGAUUUAUCAGAUAAAUUAAUUAGAGAAGAAUGAAGAUGUUGUUGCUCAGGCACGAGCAAUUACAACAGUCUAGACACUCUGCCCCGUCUUUCUUUCAAUGUUGUUGGCACACUGAAUAAUUUCCUUAGUGACAAGUUAACCAAAUUUAGAGGUAUAUGUGAUUUUGAUUUGACUUACUCUUAAUGAAAUACAAUUAAGGAAUUUUUCUGUUGUUUCUAGGCCUUUUGGAGAGUUCGGAUUGAAGCAACGUUUGCCUUAGCUAAUACAACAUCUAAGGUAUUGUUAUAAUUCUCACCUUUAUUUAUUAAAUAUAUUGAGCACAUGGUAGGUCCACCAAAAUGUAUGCAAAAUCUAUUCACCAGAGGUAUUCGCAUAAAGUGAAUUUUUGUGAGAGACUAUUCUUCAACUGUGAAAACUACUUUGGUAGUUCUCAAACCCAUUACAAUUGAUUGGUGCUUGUGUUUUUCUAUUAGAAAGAUAUCUUCUGUAAAAUCUUUGUGAACUACAUUUUUGGAAAUGCAAAUGCUUUGUGUGGUGGUGAUUGUGCUUAUUUGCUUGGUCUUCUAGCAUUUCAGUGAAAUGAUUUAUUUUGACUUGUGCUUAUGACUAACUUGUUGACAGAGAAACUAGGCCAUUUAUGGAUGCACUGAUAUGAAUCCUAUAAUUUUUCUCUUAAUUGACAUGUUGAACUUUUUGGAAGAUAUUUUUUUUUUAUUUGAUUUGUCACAUAUUGUGCUUUAUUAGUUGGAAAUGUUUUGGUUUGUGGACCAUGUUGCACUUACCAGUUCUCAAUAUUGAUAUAUGAUAAAUACGCACUAUUGUAUUGGAAAUUGAUUGAGUUGGUUUGCUCCAUCUGGUGAAAUUUUAUAAAAGUCGAAGGUUUGAUGACAAUAUUGGACUCCCCAAGUGAGAAUCUAUCUAAGUUUGAAAUUGUUCUGAUAUCGUUGCUGCAGCACUUUGUUAACGUUUUUGUUUUCUGAUGAUCAUUCUAGGCCAAAUGAUAUUCGUGAUUUUUCAGAGCAUUUGUUCUUGAGGUAAUGCCUUGAGGUAAGGUAUGUAAUGAGUUGUGUGAAGUGGGAUGUGAUAAUAAUUUUGCCCUUGCUUCAUGUGAUGAAAUCACACAUAAUUUGCCCUUGCUUUAUGUGAUGAAAUCUUUGGGUGGUUUGUUUAUUUAGUGUUUUUCUAUUUCUUUUAAUAUGCUAAUUUUCAUAGUUCUAGAGCAAGUCUUUCUCUAGUCAUUUUGAAAUACUUCCACAUGCUACUUCUUAGCCAAGAUUGUCUUGCCCUAAUGAACAAGUUAAAUGGAUUUGCGUUGCUUGGAGUUUCAGUGUAAUAUAUGUGUUUUAGAACUUAGAUUGAUAAACAAAUUUGAACAAAUACAGUGGAAGAAGAAUAAAGAGAAGAUUAAAAAAAAAGAGAGUAGAAAUAAAGAAAAGGAUGGUGAAACUUUAGGAGAAUAGGGGAAUCAAGGGAAGAGGAUAGAAUUUUGAUGGAUUUUAUUUAAUUAUGUAACAGAGGUUUUGUGUUGUUAGAUGUUGUGCGUUAAUUGAUUUGUAAUCUUGGAAAAAUACUUUAUCAUGAAUUGGGUUAAUUGUAAGUGGCCAAUACACUAAUAUAUAUUCAUUCUUCUAGCACUCAUCUAAAUGUAAUCUGUGUUUCAGGUGAUGUUGGUGGCUCUUGGGAAUUUACUAUCAGUGUUCUUUUUACGAAUUAAGUGUUUUUCUAAUGAUGGGGCAGUGAUUGAAUAUUGUAGAGAAUUUAUGAGCUAUUCUUAAGGAUUUGAUUCACCAUGUAUUUUGAUGAUACUAUUUGUUGGAAGUUUCAAGUAACUGAAAUUUUUAGUAUAUGGUGAUAUUUGGUAUUUG
rnacentral:lncRNA from 1 species